UGUUUGACAAAUAGAAAAAUACUAAUUGAAGGAAAUCUUUUUCCAUAAAUAUCUUUAUCUCUUUCAUACUCUUUGACUUCACAUGAUAGAUAUAUUUAUAAUUAUAAGUGACCAACCAGUUCAGUAACUGAGAUCUCUUGUCGGGUGUCUGUGGGUAUGUAUAUGCCAGCGCAUGUCUCGGGGAAAUUUUCUCACUUAUCCGACUUCAUUCAGUACUGAGUACACGCGCAGUCGGGAAUCUGUGACGUCAGUCUCUGAUGUCCCGUUCUGCUUUAUGUGACCCCGGGGUCAGGGAAACUGUCGAGCCGUGUCUGCGGUGUGAGUCCACGUCCGGCCGGAGCCACUUGAAGGGACUUUGCGGGCGGAAACGAUAAACUCUGUUUCACCUGUUGGAAAACUUUCCACAAAAUGUCAGAGUGCGUGGCUUUACCGCGCUACACGCGCAAUCUCCCCUCUACACUGGAACCUCAUUAGAACGUCUGGCGAGUGUCCGAGAGUGAAACUUGUUUACGAGGGUGUAAAACUCGCGUUUAUUGGACAAUCAGGAAAAAACAUCAUACACAGACCAGUCCGUCUCGCCAGAUGUCCUGUGAUAUGAAGGAGGACCUCUUGUGCUCAGUCUGUCCAGAAUCACUGACGUGGAUGUCCCCAUGUCCCGCUCCAUCCUCUGCUACCUCCACUCAAUGUUGAAUGUGAAAGGAGGUCCACUGUAUGUGAUCAGCCUCACCCUGAGAAUGUAAAGACGCUGUUUCCAAAAAUAAACCUUGUCGGUAAAAGGUUUCUGCAUUUCGUGAUUCACAUCAAGUUAGCAUCCAUCCUACUAAACAUCAUCCAAACAGCAAACGUUCAAAAUAAAAUUCCAAUCAAAUAUCAA